UACGUAGGGUGCAGGCGUUAAUCGGAAUUACUGGGCGUAAAGCGUGCGCAGGCGGUCUUUUAAGUCAGAUGUGAAAUCCCCGGGCUUAACCUGGGAACUGCGGUUGAAACUGGAAGGCUAGAGUGUGGCAGAGGGGGGUGGAAUUCCACGUGUAGCAGUGAAAUGCGUAGAUAUGUGGAGGAACACCGAUGGCGAAGGCAGCCCCCUGGGCUAACACUGACGCUCAUGCACGAAAGCGUGGGGAGCAAACAGG
rnacentral:rRNA from 1 species